CAGCGCCCCUUCCUCCGUCCGCUCGGUUGCAACAUGGCAGCCGAGUGAUGGCCUCGGGGUGACGU
rnacentral:pre_miRNA from 17 species